CUACGGGCUGCAGCAGUGGGGAAUUUUGCGCAAUGGGGGGAACCCUGACGCAGCAAUACCGCGUGAGUGAAGAAGGCCUUUGGGUCGUAAAGCUCUUUUCUGAAGGAAGAUAGUGACGGUACUUCAGGAAUAAGCACCGGCUAACUCCGUGCCAGCAGCCGCGGUAAUACGGAGGGUGCGAGCGUUGUUCGGAUUUACUGGGCGUAAAGGGCACGUAGGCGGCCUGGCAAGUUAAGGGUAAAAUCCCGGGGCUUAACUCCGGAACUGCUCUUAAAACUGCCAAGCUAGAGAUAGUCAGAGGCGGGUGGAAUUCCUGGUGUAGAGGUGAAAUUCGUAGAUAUCAGGAGGAACACCGGUGGCGAAGGCGGCCCGCUGGGGCUAUUCUGACGCUAAGGUGCGAAAGCGUGGGGAGCGAACGGGAUUAGAUACCCUGGUAGUC
rnacentral:rRNA from 1 species